AGUGAACGCUGGCGGUAGGCCUAACACAUGCAAGUCGAACGGCAGCACAGGAGAGCUUGCUCUCUGGGUGGCGAGUGGCGGACGGGUGAGGAAUACAUCGGAAUCUACUUUUUCGUGGGGGAUAACGUAGGGAAACUUACGCUAAUACCGCAUACGACCUACGGGUGAAAGCAGGGGAUCUUCGGACCUUGCGCGAUUGAAUGAGCCGAUGUCGGAUUAGCUAGUUGGCGGGGUAAAGGCCCACCAAGGCGACGAUCCGUAGCUGGUCUGAGAGGAUGAUCAGCCACACUGGAACUGAGACACGGUCCAGACUCCUACGGGAGGCAGCAGUGGGGAAUAUUGGACAAUGGGCGCAAGCCUGAUCCAGCCAUACCGCGUGGGUGAAGAAGGCCUUCGGGUUGUAAAGCCCUUUUGUUGGGAAAGAAAUCCAGCUGGCUAAUACCCGGUUGGGAUGACGGUACCCAAAGAAUAAGCACCGGCUAACUUCGUGCCAGCAGCCGCGGUAAUACGAAGGGUGCAAGCGUUACUCGGAAUUACUGGGCGUAAAGCG
rnacentral:rRNA from 1 species